rnacentral:lncRNA from 1 species
GUGACCAUGUGAGAAGCCACAUGCUGUGUGAAACAGUCAGUCAUGAAAAGUUAUGCUUAGAAGAAAGUCCUAUAUCAUCUCUUUAAGGGCAAAGAGAAAACUUAGAGUAGAACAAUAAAAGCCAAAAGGAAGUUACACACAGACCUGUAUACAAAAAGGCUAGAUAUGAAUGACUGCUAGAUUCUUAGACAACUCACCAUUUUCAUGCCUGAUUUGAGUGGAUGACAGACUGCUUU